CAGUAGCCACGGGAAUACGGAGGGGGCUAGCGUUGUUCGGAAUUACUGGGCGUAAAGCGCACGUAGGCGGCUUGGUAAGUUAGAGGUGAAAGCCCGGAGCUCAACUCCGGAAUUGCCUUUAAGACUGCCGAGCUAGUAGGUGAGGUGAGUGGAAUUCCUGGUGUAGCGGUGAAAUGCGUAGAUAUCAGGAGGAACACCUGUGGCGAAAGCGGCUCACUGGACCAUAACUGACGCUGAGGCACGAAAGCUAGGGGAGCAAACAGGAUUAGAUACCCCUGUAGUCCCUGUCUCUUAUACACAU
rnacentral:rRNA from 1 species